AGAGCGAACGCUGGCGGCAGGCUUAACACAUGCAAGUCGAGCGCUCGUAGCAAUACGAGAGCGGCAGACGGGAGAGUAGCACGUGGGAACGUACCCUUCGGUUCGGAACAACCCGAGGGAAACUUGGGCUAAUACCGGAUACGUCCGUAAGGAGAAAGAUUUAUCGCCGAAAGGAUCGGCCCGCGUCUGAUUAGCUAGUUGGUGAGGUAACGCUCACCAAGGCGACGAUCAGUAGCUGGUCUGAGAGGAUGAUCAGCCUCACUGGGACUGAGACACGGCCCAGACUCCUACGGGAGGCAGCAGUGGGGAAUAUUGGACAAUGGGCGCAAGCCUGAUCCAGCCAUGCCGCGUGGGUGAUGAAGGCCCUAGGGUUGUAAAGCCCUUUCGGCGGGAAGAUAAUGACGGUACCCGCAGAAGAAGCCCCGGCUAACUUCGUGCCAGCAGCCGU
rnacentral:rRNA from 1 species